GAUGAACGCUGGCGGCGUGCCUAAUACAUGCCAGUCGAGCGAACGGACGAGAAGCUUGCUUCUCUGAUGUUAGCGGCGGACGGGUGAGUAACACAUGGAUAACCUACCUAUAAGACUGGGAUAACUUCGGGAAACCGUAGCUAAUACCGGAUAAUAUUUUGAACCGCAUGGUUCAAAAGUGAAAGACGGUCUUGCUGUCACUUAUAGAUGGAUCCGCGCUGCAUUAGCUAGUUGGUAAGGUAACGGCUUACCAAGGCAACGAUGCAUAGCCGACCUGAGAGGGUGAUCGGCCACACUGGAACUGAGACACGGUCCAGACUCCUACGGGAGGCAGCAGUAGGGAAUCUUCCGCGAUGGGCGAAAGCCUGACGGAGCAACGCCGCGUGAGUGAUGAAGGUCUUCGGAUCGUAAAACGAUGUUAUUAGGGAAGAACAUAUGUGUAAGUAACUGUGCACAUCUUGACGGUACCUAAUCAGAAAGCCACGGCUAACUACGUG
rnacentral:rRNA from 1 species